AUUGAACGCUGGCGGCAUGCCUUACACAUGCAAGUCGAACGGUAACAGGUCUUCGGAUGCUGACGAGUGGCGAACGGGUGAGUAAUACAUCGGAACGUGCCCGAUCGUGGGGGAUAACGAGGCGAAAGCUUUGCUAAUACCGCAUACGAUCUACGGAUGAAAGCGGGGGAUCUUCGGACCUCGCGCGGACGGAGCGGCCGAUGGCAGAUUAGGUAGUUGGUGGGAUAAAAGCUUACCUAGCCGACGAUCUGUAGCUGGUCUGAGAGGAUGAUCAGCCACACUGGGACUGAGACACGGCCCAGACUCCUACGGGAGGCAGCAGUGGGGAAUUUUGGACAAUGGGCGAAAGCCUGAUCCAGCCAUGCCGCGUGCAGGAUGAAGGCCUUCGGGUUGUAAACUGCUUUUGUACGGAACGAAAAGCCUCUUUCUAAUAAAGAGGGGUCAUGACGGUACCGUAAGAAUAAGCACCGGCUAACUACGUG
rnacentral:rRNA from 1 species